CCCAGACUCUCUUGUCUAGGUCUUAGAUUCUACCAUGCAUUUUACAUAUACAGCACAGCUCAUAUCAUCUCGACACUGCAUCUCCAUAGGACUGCUGGAAAGUGCUGCUGUGCAUCGUGGAGCGGCUUAGGGUCUCAGGAAAGCAGUAGGGAGCUGUAAUCUGAAUAACCCAGAGCUCAGUGGAAAAGAGGCUUAUGGAGGAGGGCUAAAGAUAAAAGAGGCAGAUUAGACAGGAAGAACCACAACUUGGGCUUGCUGGGCAGCAGGUGGCAGACAUGAUUGAAGACAGACAGUCCUAGGCUUUAGGGCCAUGUAACCAAAACACUUGAGAGAAAACUACAUACAAGAAUGUACUGCUGUCAGCCAUGUGACAAUGCCCAUGUCUUAAGAUGUGUGGGUUCAGAAAGAAGUGAUGUGCUUGACACAGGAUCCAGCCAUAACCCCAUGUGUCCUGAACAUCAAGACUGUGAGGCCAAGUUGAGCUUAGCUUCUAACACCAGAUGCACUAAUGACUGGAGCAGGCCAGUCAUAAAACAGACCAGGAAAGAAACAUAUACAUCAAGUUAGAUGAGCACCAGCCAAUUAGAAAGGGAGGCGACUGGGACAGCUCUGGGAAGAGGAGAAAAGAGCAGAGCCAAGGGUUCUACAUCCAGACUUGGACCAGAUCGCUGUGUUGGAGUUAUGUAUGGGUCUGUUCCCCUUGUUUCAAUGUUUAGAGACAGAGAAGGGGCCGACCCAGCACUACACAAGAGAAUGCUAACAUCCACC
rnacentral:lncRNA from 1 species